rnacentral:rRNA from 1 species
UACGUAGGGUGCGAGCGUUGUCCGGAAUUACUGGGCGUAAAGAGCUCGUAGGUGGUUUGUCGCGUUGUUCGUGAAAACUCACAGCUUAACUGUGGGCGUGCGGGCGAUACGGGCAGACUGGAGUACUGCAGGGGAGACUGGAAUUCCUGGUGUAGCGGUGGAAUGCGCAGAUAUCAGGAGGAACACCAGCGGCGAAGGCGGUGCUCUGGGCCGGAACUGACGCUGAGGAGCGAAAGCGUGGGGAGCGAACAGG